rnacentral:rRNA from 1 species
GCAGUCGAACGUGAAGCCACCUUCGGGUGGUGGAAAGUGGCAGACGGGUGAGUAACGCGUGGGAACGUGCCCUUCGGUUCGGGAUAACCCAGGGAAACUUGGGCUAACACCGGAUACGCCCUUCGGGGGAAAAAUUUAUUGCCGAAGGAUCGGCCCGCGUCGGAUUAGCUUGUUGGUGGGGUAAAAGCCUACCAAGGCGACGAUCCGUAGCUGGUCUGAGAGGAUGAUCAGCCACACUGGGACUGAGACACGGCCCAGACUCCUACGGGAGGCAGCAGUGGGGAAUAUUGGACAAUGGGCGCAAGCCUGAUCCAGCCAUGCCGCGUGGGUGAAGAAGGCCUUAGGGUUGUAAAUCCCUUUCAGCGGGGAAGAUAAUGACGGUACCCGCAGAAGAAGCCCCGGCUAACUCCGUGCCAGCAGCCGCGGUAAUACGGAGGGGGCUAGCGUUGUUCGGAAUUACUGGGCGUAAAGCGCGCGUAGGCGGGCCUGCAAGUCGGGGGUGAAAGCCCGAGGCUCAACCUCGGAACUGCCUUCGAUACUGCGGGUCUUGAGUCCGGGAGAGGUGAGUGGAAUUCCUAGUGUAGAGGUGAAAUUCGUAGAUAUUAGGAAGAACACCAG